CAUAGUAAUAGUUUAGCCCCGUGGUAAUAUAGUAUGUUGGACUAAUAAUACAUUUCUUUUUUUCUUUUUUUUUUUUUUUUUUGAGACAGAGUCUUGCUCUGUCACCCAGGCUGGAGUGAGUAUAUUAGUGCAAUCUCGGCUCACUGCAGCCUCCACUUCCCGGGCUCAAGUAAUUCUCCUGCCUCAGCCUCCUGGGUAGCUGGGACUACAGGUGCUGCCACCAUGCCCAGCUAAUUUUUGUAUUUUUUGUAGAGAUGGGGUAUCACCAUGUUGGCCAGGCUGGUCUCAAACUCCUAACCUCAAGUGAUUCACCCACCUCAGCCUCCCAAAGUGCUGGGAUUACUGGUGUCAGCCACUGCACCCAGCCAAUAUAUUUCAUUUUAAAGCAAGCAAUAAAAACUUAUUUCGCUGUUUAAUAUUUUUAUUGACUUUAAAAAGACUUUUAACUUAGUGAAAGAGAAUCAGUCACCUAGAAAUGUACUGCUCUUAUCUAGCUGGGAAGGUCAUUGUAAUUUUCUUCUAUAUAGAUUUGUUUGCUCUAGAUAAGCGGCUCAAUUUGAAUAGAUUUUUAGUGAUGAAAGGGACAUUGGGAGCUGCUGCCACCCAUUCCUUUUUCGGAUGCAGAAGCCACAGCCUGGAAAAAUUGUGAUUUGUCCUGAGGCAUACAGUUACUAGCAGAGAAAGCCAAGACCAGACCCCUAGCUUCUCAGUUCCCAGCUCAUUAAACCUGACCUGAUACUAGGCUGCCUAUAAUGACUUGUGUAUGCCAACUGAUUUUUUUAGUCUUCCAAUAUAUUCAUAUAUCACUUUGAUGUUCUUGUAAGUGUAAAAUUUAUCAAUACAGUCUUUUUUUAAAUCUAGGUAUAUUCAGCAUGCAGCUUUACUUUUUCAAAGAUUCCUUCACCAUACACCUUAUCAAAACGGAUUAAUGGAAAGUGGAGUGGUCAGAGUGCUGGAGGAUGUGGAAAUUUCCAAGAGACUCACAAAAAUAACCCCAUCUACCAAUUCCAUAUAGAAAAGACUGGGCCGUUACUGAUUGAGCUACGAGGACCAAGGCAAUAUAGCGUUGGAUUUGAGGUUGUAACAGUUUCUACUCUAGGAGAUCCUGGUCCCCAUGGCUUUCUGAGGAAAUCUAGUGGUGACUAUAGGUGUGGGUUUUGCUACCUGGAAUUAGAAAAUAUACCUUCUGGGAUCUUCAAUAUCAUUCCUAGUACCUUUUUGCCUAAACAAGAAGGACCUUUUUUCUUGGACUUUAAUAGUAUUAUCCCCAUCAAGAUCACACAACUUCAGUGAUGGAGAAAUCUCAAGUUACUGGCUUUUAUACUUACCAAACAUCAGUUCUUCAAAUAAGGACACAAAUCUUCAGGACAGUAAGCAGAACAAUCAGAAUGGAAUUAAAUCUCUAAAAACGUGUUACAGUGGAAUCUGGUGCUUGUCAGGGUGUUUGGUAAGAACUGUAUAUAGUCAGAAUUACCUAAAUCACCUAGAGGUACCGUUUACAUGGUUUUGUGUAUAUAGAGUUGGCUUGCAUUUUAGGGGCCAUUUUGUAUAAAAAGUGCAUAUGAUUAAAAUUAGACUCAGUCAUCACUGUGAGAUGCCUUUGCUAAGAGGAUAAAGGAACUGAGACCAGAUGAGAAAAAGAAAGGAUAUAGAUUCCUUGAGUGGAAUAGUGGGCUAGAUUACUGAAAUAUUUCCAUUGUUUCCCUUUUUUGCAGAGCAUGUGGAAGUUAAACCUGCUUGAUUCUACUAUACAUCUUGGGCAACUAGUUACCAAAUGAAUUGUGCCACCAUAACUGAUUUUAAUUUUGCAUUAUUUAUGAUUUUAAAAUAUUUGUUGCCCAGGUGUUAUGAAAGAAUAAAGCUUUUAAGUAUAGACUACCUUAGCAUGAAGAUGCUCAUGCCUAAGAAUGAAAAUUGUUGAGGUUAUCUCCCAUUCAAUCAUGUAGCAAGAACUUAAAGAAAUUCACUACUGCAGUUUUUAUUUUUAAAAAACAGUAAUUGAGAUAUUGAAGACAUUACAAUUUAGUUUGUGUGGUCUUUUUUUAAAUUGCUGUAUCGUUCAGUCUCUUGUGGCAAUAGCACUUUGAAGAAAAUAGAGAAUUUAAUAUAUGGUGAUUGGGAUAUGUAGCAUUCAGAAAAAGUGAAUUGCCAAGAUACUGGUGUCAUGUAAAUUCCCACUUUACAUAAAAACCCAUCAGGACAGAAUGAUGUUCAAUAUUUUAAAAUUCUAAAAAUAGGGUGGGAUUUUUCAUUGUCUCUACUUUAUAAUUAUCAAAACUUAUUUUGUAUUGCUACUACCUUAAAUUGAAAUAAAAUGUUUAUACUUACGG
rnacentral:sRNA from 1 species